AACAAUAUAAUUCAAGUGAUAAAAUUAAUCAUAAAAAUUAAUGUUAAUUCACUUUCGAAGAUCCUUUUAUUUAUUUUUAAACACAAAAAAAUAGUCAAUUUAUUUGAUAUUAUUUCGAACAUAACCAAAAUUUUAUCAAGAUAAUAACUAUGUUUACAAUGAAAAUAUUUUAACGAUCUAUCUCUGUGAAUAUAACGAUUAAUUAAAAAUUCGCUAUAGAAGAUGUAUUAUUGUAUAAUACGAAAUACGUAAAAAAGAGUAAAAAUAUUUGAAAAAAUUUAUUCUCUCGCAAAAUCAUUUAAAAUCUAAAAUUAUUUCUCCUGUUGUAUUUUGCACAAUUGAACGUACCAAAAAGCCUUUCUCAUUUUUGGAUCUGUGAUUGAUAAUACGAGGCUUUAUAUUCCAAGACAAUAAUCGAUUCUCUAUUUGCUCUUGACAAAAGCAUAUGUUACGAUAAAGCCGAAUCGUACAUAAUAUGUAUGUACAAUAUUUAGUAACUAUAUGUCAAGAAUAUCUUUGAGUUUUCAUUAAAAAAAAAAAAAGAAAGAAAAGAAAAAAAAAGAAAAAAAAUGAGACGAGUAAAAAAAACAUGUUCAAUCAUACAAAUUAUAUAUAAAAACUAACUUGUGAAAUUUCAGAUCAAAGUUAUCAUCCUGAAAUAGUGCUACAUUGUUACUAUACAUUUGCAUAAUAAUGAUAUUAAUAAUAAUAAUAAUAAUAAUAAUAAUGAUAAUAAUAAUAACAAUAAAUGUAUAAAAUGAGCGAACUUUAUUAAAAACUGACAACCAUACUUUCGUUUAGAUUUAAAACGCUUUGUUGGAAGUAUCGUCUACAAUGGCGUUAAAAAUCAACUUGUCAAUGUUUUUCGUGUAGUUUGAAUAAAAUAACUUUCUCUCUUUGGUAAAAAACUAUAGAUAAAAACACAAAUGAAACUUCUAUCACAUGUCAUGCUCUGAAUACUGCGUGUAGGUAUAUAUAUAUGUACAUGCGUCAUCAGAAGAUGAUAAGCCAAACAAAUUGUACCACAAAAAAUAUGAAGUUCCACGUGUAAAAAUAAAAGUAUUUCGUGGCCCAACAGAAGAAAAAAAUGGUGAAACAUUUGCUAAAUGGGGAUUUUGGAUAAAACAACCACGUAAUUCAUCCGUACAUACUGCUUAAUAAAUUAAAACUAAGUUUCGUGGUGACAAUUUUGCAUUAAAUACCGGUCUUAUUAUAGGAUUUAAGUUUCUUUCUGAAAGAUAUAAAAAUCUAUCCAAAAGUACUAAUGUUUCUACCAAUGGUGCCAGUAAAAUUCUAAGAGAAGAAAAUAUAACAAUUUGUAACCAAUAACUUAAAUAAUGUUCUACUUCUGUUCCUUCAAGAUCAGUAUCCUUUGGUUGUAAUUCAGAUUGAAGAUGACGUGUUGCAAGAAAACAAUAUCUGAAAGAGCAAAAUAUAUAUAUAAAAUUUAUCACUUAGAUCGUAUAAUAUAUUUUUAUAGCUAUGUAUAGGAUUUUAUUUCUUUUUUCUUAACUGUUUAAAAGUCAUAUCUCUUGUUACUUUAACAUUUUUUAAUUGACUAUGGGAAGGCAACAAAUUUCUUUCUGUAAGUAUAUUUUCCAAAACUGCUCUGUAAGCAUGUACCUUAAAAAUAAGUUUGUAUUAAUUUAAGUAUA